UACGCCCACAUCAUGGUGAUACACCGCUUCCCAUACGAUCACUGAAGUUAAGUAACUUCGAGCCUGGUUAGUACCAAGAUGGGUGACCGCUUGGAAAUACUAGGUGCUGUAAG